UACAGAGGUCUCAAGCGUUGUUCGGAAUUACUGGGCGUAAAGGGUGCGCAGGCCGCGCGGGCAGUCAAAUGUGUAAUUCAGGGGCUCAACCCCUGCACUGCGCUUGAUACUUCCGCGCUCGAGCUUUGGAGAGGAGUCUGGAAUUCUCGGUGUAGCAGUGAAAUUCGUAGAUAUUCGCAAGAACACCAGUGGCGAAGGCGGCUUACUGGUCCGGUUCUGACGCUGAGGCGCGAAAGCGUGGGGAGCAAACAGG
rnacentral:rRNA from 1 species